UAGUCCACGCCAAACUCCAGUUUCAUUCGCUCCUUUCUAACUGAUGAAUCUGGUACGGUUGUUUGGAUCUUGAGAUACUAUCUUUUUUUUUGAGGAUCUUGAGAUACUAUCUUAACUUGCUUACUCCCGGCAGAAAGAAUUGCAGUUGGCACGAGCAGGAUUUUCGCUUGGCAUUCAAAAAUUGGGAGCCAUUAUGUCAUUGUUUGAUUACAAAAAUUGGAAUAUGGGAGGAUGUAUAUGUCUCCUAAAUCAAGAUUAAUCAAUUAGAUCUCCGGGAUAAAAGUGGAUAGAAAAAGAUGCUUUUGGUCCUGCAGGUCUUACAAGAUAUUUCUAAUGCUUCAGAAAAAAACAUUUUAUCAAGAAUGACAUGUAUAAGGAAGCCCUCCGUGUGUUG